UCAACCACUGAGCCACCCAGAAAGCUUUAUUUUUCCAAGAGUAAAUGAACUUGGAGACCAAUGGUAUAUAUCCUGUCUGGAAUUAAACUCCAUGAAAUUUGGUUCAUUAAUAAAGUGAAUGACCUUAUUGGCAAAUAUGCUGCUGUUGAAGAACUCUGGUGUUUCUCAUUUAGAUUCUACUUGUGCACAGUAAAGAAGAAUUCAAUUACCUGAUACAGUAUUUAUUUAGAAAAUUUGCAUCCAUGUGAAUAAGUAUUAAUGGAAUAUGAUUUCCUUUUUCUAUUGCCUUCAACUGAUUUCAAGAGGAGAUUAAUGUUCUAAUAAGUCUGAAAACUUUCCCUCUUUAUUUAUAUUUUCUGAAAUAACUUUUAUGACAUAAAACUUAUUCUGUAAGAAUUUGGAAAAUUCACCAGUAAACGCAUCUCAAGUUUGAAGGUGCUUGAAGGUGAGAAAAAGGACAUAUUUUUGUUUAGUAUUUUAAAUUCCUUGUUGAUUAUUGGUCUUUCCUUUUGUUUAUGUUGACUUGGUAUAUAUUUUUCAUCAUUGCAUUCUACAAAUACUGAAUGUGUGCUGUUAAGCACUGUUCUAGUCUCUAGAUAA